rnacentral:lncRNA from 1 species
UCAAGAAGGUGCCACGAUUGAUUCCUCCACCCAUGACCCAUCACACCAAUUGAAAGGAUUUCAAAUUUCGUCGUUUUAUUCAAUAUCAAUUUUUGUUCUUUUGUGUUUUUGUGAUUCUAUUGCCAAUUUUUGAAUCAAUGUUUUGUGGUAUAUCAAGGCAUGAAAAAAUUGUGUUUAUCAAUAAGUUUUCAAUUGUGAACUUGACAG